rnacentral:rRNA from 1 species
AUUGAACGCUGGCGGCAGGCCUAACACAUGCAAGUCGAACGAGUGGCGGACGGGGGUGUAAUGUCUGGGAAACUGCCCGAUGGAGGGGGAUAACUUCUGGAAACGGUAGCUAAUACCGCAUACCAUCGGAUGUGCCACGAUGGGAUUAGCUUGUAGGUGGGGUAAUGGCUCACUUAGGCGACGACCCCUAGCUGGUCUGAGAGGAUGACCAGCAACACGGGAACUGAGACACGGUCCAGACUCCUACGGGAGGCAGCAGUGGGGAAGAUUGCACAAUGGGCGCAAGCCUGAUGCAGCCAUGCCGAGUGUAUGAAGAAGGCCUUCGGGUUGUAAAGUACUUUCAGCGAGGAGGCGUUACUCGCAGAAGAAGCACCGGCUAACUCCGUGCCAGCAGCCGCGGUAAUAC